GCUUGGACGUGCUUGCUGUCCAACUUGGAUCGUUGGAGCAUUUAGGUGUUUUCUUUCUUUUGUUUUCAAUGUUUAAAUUCAUUUUCUUUCAUUUUCUUGUGAAUAUGAGUGGCUAAACCCCUCUUAGCUAGGGGUGAUUUCAAAGCCAUGAUUAUGUGUGUAUUAUGAUUUGAUAAAUUCCAGUUAUGAACUCUUGAGUUGUGAAUGCAAUUAGCUUAACUAUUUGAUUGAUAACUUAUUUGUAUUUGUUAAUUAAGGGUCGACACUUAAUUGGCAUGCAUAAAU
rnacentral:lncRNA from 1 species